rnacentral:siRNA from 1 species
UAGGAUGUGUCUUUAGUCAAGUG